GGACAGCAGGGGACAGCAGAGGGGAAGCCACAACCACUCUGUGCCACUGAGGGACACUGAGGAUCCAGUUCAUUAUAUCACACGUUCCCCUCAGUGGCCACCAGAUCCAGCAUGAUGCAGACAGGAGAAAGAGAGAGACCUCCUCGGCCAGCCACCCCCGGGAACGGGAAGCGGAGCGGAUUCACUUCCUGCUCUGUGCCCAACACAGGCACCAGCACCUGCGGCCACCGCCCUUGCUCACCGCAGCCCUGAAGCAGAGAUGAUCCUGACCAUUCUGCAGAUGAGAAAAUAGCUCAGAAGAAUCAUGUGACUCGCCCACAGUCGCACCGCCAGGAAGAGAUGGAGCUCAAAAUCAGGUCAGCGCUGGGGCAGCGGGGAUUUUAGCCAGAUGCCCAGGAAAUCCCCCAAACAGGUGGAGGAGAGAGCUUGAUCCCAGCCCUUCCCAGGAGGCUGCUGGGCAAAAGGACUGGGCAAGUGGGCUGAGGGCAGGGGACUGGACCUAUUGACCUCCAGAAUCUACCCAGCUGUGCUGUUUGGGAACUGGUGGGCAAGUUCCAUCAGCCUCCAGGAGGGUGGGCUGGGGAAGAGGUGGGGCAGCCUGGGAAUGCCCAGAGAUGCUCUGACCAUCGGGGUCCCCCAGGACACCAGGGGUGUGGUCAGGCAGCUCUGACUUUCUGGGGCCACCAACAGAGACCUGAGUGCCCAGGUCCCAGUAGAAAGGGGGCUGGAAGGGAGGCAAGAGGGAGGGGAGGCUCUCUCUUCCAGCAGCCAACUAGCCUGUGGGGAGCCGGGUCCUGUGGUUUUGACAGCAGCGACACGAGCUCGUCCAGAAUCUCUGUCUUGCGCGAGGCGCGAGAGAAGAGCAGGCAACGGCCGAGGAGGGAGGACGGCAACUUGGCCAGAAAAGUUUCUGCCGACAUCAGCAGUCCAGUGGGCCCUGAAGAGUGGCCAAGGGCACGGGGAGGCUGGGUCCCUGCUGGACACAGGAGGCUGCUGGAACUGAGCCGGGCAGGGGCAGAGGGAAGACCGAGGGAUGGAAGUCUGUAAACAAAGGUGCUGGGGUGAAGGGUUUUCCCAAUCUGUGCUGACAUAACUAGACACUGGGACCGGGACCGGUGUCCUCAGAAGAGGUAAAUUUGCUCAGAGACACGCACGGGUGAGAGAAGCCGCGUGAAGAUGGAUGCAGAGGCUGGAGUGAUAGCCACAGAUUGCCAGCAACCACCAGAAGCUGGAAGAGGAAAGAACCUCCCCUGGAGCCUUCAGAGAGAGCAUGGCCAGGCCGCCAUCUUGAAUCUAGACUUCUAGCCUCCAAAAGUGGUUGGCCCCAGGACUCACAGGAUGUGGUUAGACCCAGGCAGCCCUUGCCUCUGGAGUGUGUUCUGCCACUAGCUCUAGGAAGAGGGCCCAGCCCACAGGUGGAGAAGCUGGAACUCGAGCCCAGGAGGCACGCGGCUCCAGGAUCCAGCCUCUUCCCCACCGCGUCACUUCCCAGCAGGCCGCACUAGGCUUUGGCAGCACCUGUUGUUUGUGAACCUCCAUGAACCCUCCCUUAUUCCAUCUGAGGUGUGGGCACUUUGCCAUGAUUUCUUCGGGGCGGGGCAGGCUGGCCAGCUCCCCGCUCUCUGGGCUCCUUUCAGACCAGGUCCAAGUCCUUCUCACCCAGAACAUUCCUGCCCCUUUUGUGCCCACCCUGUGAGCAGGGCCACCCCCAUCUGCCUUGUCACUUUCUGGCCACCUGCCCUCAUCUAUAGAAAGCCGCCAUCUGACUCUCUGCACCUCAACCCUUGCCGUCCUCUUGUGACUUCACGGCGCCAGAGGUGACCAGGGCAGGGCCUCUCCAUUCCUCCGUGACCUUGGGCUUCCAUUCCCUCCAGGCUCUUUUUGAAGGCCCCCCCGUGGGCCCAGUACCCCACAGCCCUUGGCCAAACCCCAGCUCGGCUCUGCAGCUCCUCUGCGUACACUCCUUCCCCACCCUGGACCUUCCUCUCUCACUGGCCCUCGCUGCCUCCUCCCCACCCACCUUUGCCCACGGUGGGGUCCACAACCAUCAGCAUCACGAAGCCACAGAUGCCCAGCCCCUCCCUUGGCAGCACCUUCAUGAUGCCCCAGCACCAACCCAACCAGCCCCCUGCAGCAGCCACAGCGGGGAAGCUAAAGGCUGUGCCCUCUGUGAGCCCCAAGUCUCCAGCAGCCAGUGGCCCUGGCAGCGGCAGCCCCAGUAGCCCACGUGCCUUCCCCAACAUGGCGUCAUGGCCCGUUCGCGCCCGCUGGCCUCCCAGGCUCUGCCGGCCUGUCACCCUCCACCGAGGAAACAGGAGCCCUUCCAGCAGCCCCUCUUCCCGCCUGUGGAAGCACGUGGCCCAUCAAAGGCUAUGGCUUCCCUGGGCUCGGAAACGCCCUUCUGGGCCCAAGGAAUGUGGCCCCAUAGGGUCAUCUUUGUCCUCGCCCUGCUCGCCGUCUCCAUGGACCCCGC